rnacentral:rRNA from 1 species
AGGGCACCACCAGGAGUGGAGCCUGCGGCUUAAUUUGACUCAACACGGGAAAUCUCACCAGGCCCGGACACCGGAAGGAUUGACAGAUUGAGAGCUCUUUCUUGAUUCGGUGGGUGGUGGUGCAUGGCCGUUCUUAGUUGGUGGAGCGAUUUGUCUGGUUAAUUCCGAUAACGAACGAGACUCUGGCCUACUAACUAGACGUUAGAUCCCUUUGUGGGUCUAUCGCAGCUUCUUAGAGGGACGGGCGGCGUUUAGCCGCACGAGAUUGAGCAAUAACAGGUCUGUGAUGCCCUUAGAUGUUCUGGGCUGCACGCGCGCUACACUGAAGGAAUCAGCGUGUGUUCCCUGUCCGAAAGGACUGGGAAACCCGUUGAACCUCCUUCGUGAUGGGGAUUGGGGAUUGCAAUUAUUCCCCCAUGAACGAGGAAUCCCCAGUAGGCGCGAGUCAUAAGCUUGCGUCAAUAACGUUCCUGCCCUUUGUACCACCGCCCGUCGCUACUACCGAUCGAGUGAUUUAGU